AAGUCGUAACAAGGUAACCGUAGGUGAACCUGCGGUUGGAUCAUUAAUAAAUUCUAGAGCAGUCUUGAGAUCGAGCAAUCGUGAUCAGGCUGUUUCUUAACAAUUCGUGAAUCGUUUAUUGUCUCUUGUGGAUGAGUUGUCUUAGGAUGCUCUCCACAUGUAACUCUUAACAUUGUAAUAUAACUAUUUGCCUUGAAAUUUUAAACCUAAAAAUUUAAAAACAACUUUUGACAACGGAUCUCUAGGCUCUC
rnacentral:misc_RNA from 1 species